UACGGGGGGAGCAAGCGUUGUUCGGAUUUACUGGGCGUAAAGGGCGCGUAGGCGGUCAGCACAAGUCAGUUGUGAAAUCUCCGGGCUUAACUCGGAAAGGUCAACUGAUACUGUGCGGCUAGAGUGCAGAAGGGGCAACUGGAAUUCUCGGUGUAGCGGUGAAAUGCGUAGAUAUCGAGAGGAACACCUGCGGCGAAGGCGGUGCUGGGCUGACACUGACGCUGAUGCGCGAAAGCCGGGAGCAAGCGGGAUAGACGUACCCAGUAUCCACGACCAAG
rnacentral:rRNA from 1 species